rnacentral:rRNA from 1 species
AUUGAACGCUGGCGGCAUGCCUUACACAUGCAAGUCGAACGGUAACAGCGGAGCUUGCUCCGGCUGACGAGUGGCGGACGGGUGAGUAAUGCAUCGGAAUGUACCCAGUAGUGGGGGAUAGCCCGGCGAAAGCCGGAUUAAUACCGCAUACGUACUCAGGUAGAAAGUGGGGGACCCUCGGGCCUCACGCUAUUGGAGCAGCCGAUGUCAGAUUAGCUUGUUGGUGGGGUAAAAGCCUACCAAGGCGACGAUCUGUAACUGGUCUGAGAGGACGACCAGUCACACUGGGACUGAGACACGGCCCAGACUCCUACGGGAGGCAGCAGUGGGGAAUUUUGGACAAUGGGGGCAACCCUGAUCCAGCAAUGCCGCGUGUGUGAAGAAGGCCUUCGGGUUGUAAAGCACUUUUGCCAGGAAAGAAAUCUGUUUGGUUAAUAACUGAACAGGAUGACGGUACCUGGAGAAUAAGCACCGGCUAACUACG